GGCCGCCUGGCGAAAUGGCAUCGCGUCUGACUACGAUAUCUGUAAACACUUUCGCAAUCAGGAGAUUGCAGGUUCGACCCCUGCGGUGGUCA